GCAUGGUAGUAUGCACCUGUAUUCCCAGCUACUCAGGAUUCUGAGAUGGGAAGAUCACUUGAGCCCAGGAGUUUGAGACCAGCCUGGGCAACAUAGUCAGACCCUAUCUCUU
rnacentral:sRNA from 1 species